rnacentral:lncRNA from 10 species
CAGGCUAAUCCUAGUGUUUUGGAGAGAGAUGUGGAUACACAAGAAUUUAACCUAGAAAAAGCUCGUUUAGAAGUGCACCGGUUUGGUAUCACGGGUUAUGGAAAAGGAAAGGAGAGAAUCCUGGAACAGGAACGUGCCAUUAUGCUGGGCGCUAAGCCUCCUAAAAAGAGUUAUGUGAAUUACAAGGUUUUACAGGAGCAAAUUAAAGAAAAAAAGGCAGCAAAGGAAGAAGAAAAGAGACUGGUAGGUGUGAUGGUCUGUCCUUUAUUCAACUAGAAUGGGAAGAUGGAUGCUCUUUGCCACAGUGGAAUGCCGGAAGCCGCUGCUUGGAGAGCAAUGAAGGCACCAGAGUUAAAGGAUCCCAUGCUCCCCAUUUCUUCGAGUUAGCUCUGUUUAGUAAUACCAGCCAAGUAAUCUGGCGUACUUACAUGCAAGAUUUGCUUUGAAAUAGCAAACUCCUUGUCUUAGUCCGUUUUUGUUGCUGUAAAGGAAUGCCUGAUGCUGCGUAAUUUAUAAAGAAAGGAGGCUGAUUUGGAGCAUGGUUCUGCAGACUGCAUGGAAAGCAUAGCACUGGCAUCUGCUCGGCCUCCGGUGAG